UGUGGGGAAGGGGCUAUGGGGAAGGGGAUAUAGGGAAGGGACUAUAGGGAGGGAGGAACGCAGCACAGAAGGGUUUUGAGGAGCUGGGGAUGAGUGGGAGAGCCUGAGGGGAAGGGAUGUGGGCAGCAGGCAAGGGGGCAGGGGGCUGAGGGGACAUGGCAGAGAGGAUGGGGCUGAGGGGAUAUGGCUGAGGGGAUAUAGCUGAGGGGACAUGGCUGAGGGACAUGGCUGAGGGGGACAGGGACCUGAGGGACAUGGCUGAGGGGACAGGGGGCUGAGGGGACGUGGCUGAGGGACGUGGCUGAGGGGACAGGGGGCUGAGGGGACGUGGCUGAGGGACGUGGCUGAGGGGAAGCAGGAGGCUGGAGGGCGAUGGCUGAGGAGAAGCCGUGAAGGGAGAUGGCAGCUGAGGGGGAGCAGUGAGGGGAGGUGGAGGCAAGGAUGGCUGGGGAAGAGCCUGAGGGGACGCGGUGAGGGAACGUGGGGCUGAGGGCAGACGGGGCUGCCUGGCGCUGACAGGGAGGCUCUGGGUGCUGGCAGGGGUGAGGGCGCCUUUGCACCAUUGCUUUGGUGUCGGUGCCACCUCUGGGGGUGGUAAGAGCGGAUCCCCUCCCCAGGCAGAGGCGAGCAACCCAUAUGCACAGUGCUGAAACACAGUGACAAGGGGCACAUCUUGCUUCUUGGAAUCAAGGCUUUGUCAUCACACCUUUGGGGACCGAGGAGGUUGCUGAAAAACAGAGAAGUCUGAGGAUGGGUGAAGGCUGAAUAAAGAUGAAGGAGGUCCCAUAGAAGUGGGAAGGAGCUACAUUUGGCCGGGGAGAGGAUGUCCGUACAUUAUACACAUUUGUGCUUCCAGGAGGACAUCCUCUCCCCGGCCAAAUGUAACUCCUUCCCAAAUGUGUAUAAUGUACAUGGAGACUGUCUGAGGUGGUGAGGCAGCUGGAAGGAGGUUCUUGCUCCAAAACAUAAUGCCCAGGGCAGGUGGAGAAUUCACCCACCCGCCCAACUACCUGAAUGACAGACAUCACUGAUGCUUUUGCUUAGAUUCUACCAUGGCCCUUCUGGUCCAGAAAUAUGGGUAUCUUUGCCUGGAGGACAGGAGAAAGACGGGAGAACAAGUUGUAGUGAUGAAACGUACAGAUAGCAGGAUGGUAAGUGAUGAAAGAACAGGCUUUUUACAGCAGGCGUAGUUGUAGUGCACAUGGCUGAAACUUCUUAGGGAGCAGAUAAGUGAAAGGUGAGACCAUUAAAUAUUGGUGCAGUGACAACAACCAUGCAGGAGGAAUGUUCAGGCUCAUGCUUCAUGGCUUAAACCAUUGCAACCUAUUACGCGAGUUCAUCCCGGAGGGAGGGGAGGUUGUCCCUGUCUGUUGACAGCAAAGUUUGUGCAUGUGCCCCAGGGGUGUAUGUGUGUCACUCGUCUGACCAGAGGGAGCUACUGAAUCUCAUGGGAGUAUGCGACACACUGGCCUGCUAGAUAAGAAAAUCAAAGUGUGGUGACUAAAUUAAACCAAAAAUAGGUGUGUCUCUUAGGUCUGAUCACUUGCGGGAGGGAACACCCUCUGCAUCAGGCUGUGGGAAGGGGCACACCCCAUCCAUGUGCAGAUAAAUUCCUGUAACUCUUCAGAAACCAUCAAUGUAAAGGCGGAAUGAAAUCCCACAUGGGCUUGUUUCAAGCUGCCUCUCCAGUCUGAAGAGUCCUUUUUCAGCUGCAUGUGGCCUGAAAGAGAGGGCAGCAAGAACCACUUUCCUCUUGGCGUGGUGGCCAAAAUCUACAAGGUGCUGCAAGUGCAUCUGUCCUUGCAGUAGGGAGGGAGAUUAUUUUAUUUUUGUGAGGGAGGCAGAGAGAAAGAAGCUUAGCAGGCAAUGGCUCAGCCCUUUCAUCAGGCCAGACAGUAAAAGUGGAUGGGGGAAAGGGAAGGGGACCAGCUCGUCUCCCCGAAGAGUCACUCCUGCCCAGCAGGGCAGGUGGAGCGGGCCAGAAGCUGGGCUGUUCUACAUGUAGGCCUGACUCGUAUCUCCUGAGUCACUUGGGAGCACUGAGAGCUGGAAAGCGAGAGCUCAUUUCUGGCAAAUGCGCAUUCAUCUCCACUUUGAUGGGAGCCAGGGCAUAUUAAGGAUGCCUGGUAAAGUGGCAGGGUUUGGCUCUGCUGAUUCCAGGGAACUGACAGCAAAAGUCUUGGAGAGAAAGAACUGUACAGCUUUCUUGCCCGUUUUUCAAGGGUUUGUCAUUCGCUCCUCAAAGCAAAUGACAUGAUAGCCAAAGGUGAAUGCCUGACAUGAGAAGUGCUUGCGAGGCAGGCUGCUGGGGUUUGUCCUGGCUCCGCAGGGAUGCUGCUCUCAGAGCUGCUUGCUGCUGAGGGGUUUGCUGUCAUUCCUCUGAUCUCUCACUCAUUUCAAACAGGCAGCAGAGCCUUCGGAGGGGUCAUUCCCAAAAAUGAGUGCAAGGCAGAGUGGCAGUUAGGAAGUAGUUAACCUGAACCUAUAUUAAAAAAAAAAAAAAGUUGGACUUGAGCUAUAAAGUGUUUGAGUGGAGCAGUCAAUUACUGCAACACUUAGAGCAGUACCCAACAGUCUUUCAUUCCCAGGAAAAGGAGGUGUUUGUAUGCUUUUCAAAGUGAAUGCCUGAAAGCACCUUGGAGAAUUUGAAUACUCUUACAAAACCAGCCUGUAACUUUCACUCCCGUGCCGCAGUCUUCAUUUCACGUCCACUUCCCUAUCAUGAAUCAGGAUGCAAUAAGAAGCUAACUAGUCAGAGCUAGGCAGGACGCUGCUCCGGCGACAACAAAAGCAUUUGUGGGUCACUGGCAGAUAGUCGCCAGCCAGACAGGGCUGUUUGCUCAUUGAGACUGACUCCAGCAUAAUGGAAGGCAUGGAAUUUUGGCCGGGGAUCCUUGCCGUCCCAGCGACCUGUCGAGUCUCUCUGACCGGUCAUGAGAUUUGCCUUGCGGCUGGCACGCCCCGUGGUCUCCUGAUCUGGGCUCUAUCCGUCACCGUCCCCGGUGCGCGGGGCCGCGGAGGAGGAGGAGGGUGGCUGCGGCACGGUGCUGGGGCUGGGUGAGAGCUCUGCAGUCCGGGAGCACCAGCAAAAAGUGCAGCUCUGGAGGCCAGCCUGCAUCCGAGCCCUGCUGUAGGUGACCCAGGGCACAGGGUGCUCCCCGCUUCCCCCACGCAGUGCCUGGUUUCCCGUGCUGGAUGAGGAGAACGUGCAAACAUCAGGGGACGUGGGCUUGUCGCGAUGCAGGAGCUGAGCCUCGCAGCGUUCUUUAAGCCUUACCCUGCAAAGCACCGGGCAGCCUGGCCUUCUGGGGACUUAGCCCUUCUCCUCUGCACCGGAGGGGGGCUUUUAGCAUCGAGCUGCUCCCCUCUCUAGCCUGGGCCUCUGUAAACCGUGCCCACUUCUCCUGAAGCAGAAAAAUUGUGUUUGUGCUGCAAUGACAGAACGGAAAUGUCCUCAGGAGUCUGUGUGUAGCCUUGAGUUACCUUUUAUAAAUAGGUUAACAGCUGGAGGGCCCGUGUUUGUUUAAAGGGAAAAGACAUACAGUACACGCCCUAUAUGAUGUGCUCUGUCCUAAGUAAUUCUGCCAUUUUGUUGAUUUAUGUCUGGAGAUUAAAGGAUUUGCCUUUCAAUAAAAUUAUUCUCCUCAAACUACUAAGUAGGGGAGAGAGGGGAUUUUAAGCACGUUCUCCACGGUGUGCAGCUAUCCCUGGUGAAGCCACAGACGGUUUCUUCCUUGCUGUGCCGCUCACAAAUUACUCCUGGUGACUUUGACUGUGCUUUGCCAUUCCUCUCCUGCUUCUGGAGCACAGGACACUGGGGACAAGGCGGGGUGAGAGGUCUCUGGGCCCCAAGGAGCUUCCAGCCUGAACUAGACGGAGCAUGUAACCAGGACUGACAAAAGCUGUGCGAUGAGACAGAAGACGACUGUUCUGGGAAAAAGAAGUCUGCAAAGAGCCCAGCUUCAUGGGCCCUGCAGGUCUGCACGAAGCUUUCUGCAAGUCAGAUCCCUCACCAACCAGGAGUGCCUCAGGGCCAGGGCCUUGUUUGUUGUAAUUUCACCAUUCUCAUCCUCCCUCAUGUGGUCAGGUACAAGAUAAGAAACAGAAAGCAUCAGCAGGGAAAGUCAUCAUCACUCAUCCAGAGGCUGGAAGGAGCAGAGCUGGGGGUGGUGAGGUGAAGGACACGGGUAUCUGGAGGACUGACGUGCCUCUUUUACAAGAGAUGUGCUGUCGUCACUUGGACAAAAUGAAGGAGCUGUGAAAGGCAACCAAACCUCACACCUCUUUUCACAUCACCUCGUCGCCGGCGGUGCCAGGCGUGCAGAUACGGAGCAGUCAGUUUGCCAGACCGUGGUAGGGGUGAUCUCCUCACAUUGAACCUCAUUCUGCGCUCUCAUUGCUGGCCUCUGAAAGCUCUGGGACAAGGGAUUUAAUAACUUUUCCAUACCACUCAUUAUGACUAUCCUAGACUUCUUGGGACCCAACGGUCCACUCCCUUUCUGAGCUGUAAUAAGCCAGUGGCAACGCUUUCUUGUGGCAACAAGUUCCCCGGUGUAAUGGCACAUGUGCAAAUUAAUGGUUUGGAAUGCGCUGUUUUCUAAUUCCUUUGUUUUUGUGCUACAACAAAAAAGAAAUGGAAAGCUGCUCCCGCUGCACCUUCUGCAGGCUAUUCAGUGUUUUCUCUGCUUCCAUCACAUAAUUUCUGACUUUCCUUUUAUCUGAGGUAAGCGUGGCCAAUCCCUCAAUCUCUCAUCGGGUGCUCUUCUCUCUUCCGUGGCUGCCUGCCCUACUUUUGGUGAACUCUCUUGACUUCUUCAACUUCCUUGCUAUCGUGGGAAGUGACAGUACUACGGGUGUUGUUUUUGGCAAGGCUUUACCAUUCACCUACAUCUCCUACAUCACUCACCUGUGUUCCAGUACUUUCAUUAUACUUCAUCAUAUUUCUUUUAAAUCUCUAACAUUUUGUUGUUCCUUUUUUCAUUUUUUUUCGGAGCAGACAGAAGUCAGGACAGCGACAGUAAUGCCCAGGUUCCCUUUCUGAGAUGACACAGUCACUUUAGAAGCCUGACUCCCAUGACAUUCCCCUUGGUUCAUGGAAAUGGCUGAGAGCACUUUGGCUGUCUGAAGAAUUCCCAGGGCAUUUUCUGUUGUUUAUUUUCCAUUUGGGCAGCUAGCCCAUUUGCAUGAAGCCUAUGAAGGACAUGUGGGAUGGAAAGACCGUAUGCGUGAUGCUCAUCCACUGCCGUGCAGCCACUGCUGGUCCCAUUUUGCACACUCAUCAGUCCAGACAUGCAAAUAAAGGGUGUGUAGCUUUCAUUUAGAUGCUUUAGUUUUAAAUAUGAGCCACACAUGAAAAUUGCAUGAAAAACAUCUUUUCAGGCUAGAAGCAAGCCCUCUGUGUGGAUUAAAGGCAGUGUCACAUUAGCAGCAAGGCCAGAGCUCAGCCCUUCUUGAUCAAAAGCUUCUUUCCCCUGCAGCGUGAGCUAAUGGAGGUAGCAGUACAGCCCCUGUGUCAAGCACGAAUUAUUCAGAUGCAGCACAGCAGAAGGCAGAGAUCCUGAUACGCGUAGGGGCCAGCUCUGCAGCAUCACGUGAGCGCCGUGCACGUUCAUGGCGGUGCCUGCAAGCCCCUCGGCACCCACCAGGCGUGGUACUGGGCAGGCAGUACGGCGAUUUGCCACUACCGCCUAGCAAAGCCUGCCCAGCUCAGCAGCAGCAGAGCACCGGGCUGCGGAAGAUGGACCUUCCGAAACAUUCAAAUGCGUUACCUCACUGAGACGAGUUUUUCAGGCUUGCAACUGGAGAGGUUUUCUAAAUCUGCUCCCGAACCCUGGCUGCCAAAACAGAGUGGAAUAUACGAGCCAGAGAAAUUCAGCGAAGCCCCGAGGCCGGGGUCGGAGAGGUGAUCUCUGAGGAAUUAUCUCACAUCCAAAAUUGCAGCAGGAAAAAAAGAAGGAAGAUGCUGGCUGGGGUGAGGGCGUAACUGCUAGAAACUGGCCCAAAGGAGAAAAGCGAAAGCACAUCAGUGUGCUGCGUGAUAUGGCCGCAGCAGAGAGCUACAUGCAUUAUAUAUAAAACAGAGGGUGGAUGACAUUAAAAUUAAAAGUUGCUUGAGAAUGCUGAAGGAUGAAACCCAAUCUGUCAUAUAAAAAUUUAAUUACAUUGUUGUUAAACCCAAGGUUUCUGGAAGAGACAAAGUAAACACAGUUUCUAGAAGACUCUUUCUUCUCUUGGGACUUCAUAAGAGAGCUGGAGACCUGAUUGUGAAAUUUCAUCAUCGUCAGUAGGAAAAAAAAAUCCAGACAAUAUCCAAAGCUCAUGCUCAGAGGCCACAAAUGGCUAUAUAUUUUUUUCCACAUAUUUUUCUGCUCUCGCUGUAAAAAGAAAUGAGAGCUGGGGGAAAUGACAGCAGCUCUCAUUACUAUGGGUGAGAGUUCCCAUUUAAAUUCUUAUUCAUCUUCCAAAAAUGCAAGACUUUAAGCAAGGGGAGGGAAUGCACUCCAGUUGCUUGGAAUAGAAAUCCAAAUCGUUCAUACAAAGCAUGGAAAAUAAUGAUAAUCUGAUGAAAAAAAUCUUGGCAAGCCAUGAAAUUCAGAAAAGGAAGGAGGGGAGAGGGAGGACAGAAGAUUGUAGAAAGCCUGGCCUUGGCAGAAGUUAAGUUCAGCAAGAAGGCUGAGAGCCCCCGAGCGUUUCAGGGUCAUGGGGUAAACCGCGUCCUGCGGGGAGUAGGCGGGUAUUCAGGGCUCAGCAAAGGCGAGUUGAUGGGGACUGAGUUAAGUAUUCUUUUGGUGUUUAAUUUUUGCAGUCAAGAGGAAUUAUCGCAGAAAAUAGCAUGGCAGUUGACAGGCAGAAAAUUAAGGAACAUUUAGGCAUGUUCUCUGUGAGUUGAACGUAAUAGGAAAUAUAGGGAGCGUUCACCAGACAAGGAUCCAGGCAGCCAGGUAGCCAAACUCAACUGUUCUCAAGUUUUUGAUAAACUGAAUGAAUCCCUAUUAGCAGCGCUUAGCUGUGCAGUAAUAUCUCUAUCAAAGAUUGCCUUUAAAGGGAAUAAACCAAAUUCUGAAGGAACCAAAGCCCCCCUCAUCUAACCUGCUCCCAAGUUACUUUAUUUGAAGGUUUGCAGCAGCUGGGAAAAUUGUGGGCAUGAAAUGCCACAAAAUAAGUGAUAAAGAAACAGGAGAUAAAAAAUAAGUGAUAAAGACUUCUUUAAAUAAAAGUCUUCAGUGGCAGCAUUAGUCAAUAAACGGAGAAUCUUUCUUACAGAUAGAGAGAGCCUGGGAAAAAAUGAAUCCCAGAGAAUGAGCUAAAAAGCUUACAAGAGAGUCAAGACAGAUCAGCAAGUUGUGUUGCAGUUAACUAAUUUAAGAGCAUAGUUGAAUAUGUUGGUGACAGAUGUCAGCAAGCAAACCUUUAGGAACACAAGGACGCCAUGUGAAAAUGAAGCUAUUGGCCUGGAAGUUUGAAAUGACUCAAGAAUUCUUUCCAAAAUUAAAAACAAUCCCAAAAGGUCAUUUCACAACAUAAUGAAAUAUGUGCUACUGUUGCUGCUUAAUAUAAAACCCUGCAGGCCUCAAACAGCCCGAGUUCUGAAGUUAUUCGAGUAGACCUGUGAGUAGCAGGCUGGCUGGAGAUAGGAUUGACUAAACCUGAAAUUGGAGAUAAGGAAGUCCCAGGCAAGAGGCAAGAAGGACUUGAAAAGCUCUGGGGCCAGGCAGCGCCCAGGCAAACGGCACACGAGGCAUUGAAGGCGUUGUUAGCACACCCCUGAGGGAUGCCCUUCAGGACAUCAAGGAGGAACGUCCACAGCCCCUGAAAGAAGCUCCUGGUGUUGUUCUCCUGGCAGGCAGAGCCUUUGCUGGGUGCAGUUCUUAGAGGCCCGUAUCGUUACUACAUUGCCGUUUAAAGAUUUUAGCAAAAGCACCAGGCAGUGAACUGCUUGUGGUUUAUGUAACCCUCAAAUGAAACUGGAUGAAGUGAGGACAGUGUUCAGCUCCUGCUAGCAGAGCACUUGGAAACUGUCGUGGUGCUUGCUUUAGCCAGCAGAAAACCUUUUAUUUUUAGCUGUAUGAAUCUCUCAUUGUAGAGAGGGUUUGGGAAAGGGAGUGCUCCGUUUGAAGUUGUGUCCAUUUGGACAUCCCUCCCAUAUUCUGUUAACGCACAACUUCUCUCAGUGUCGGCCCCAGAGCAGUUUGAAAGUCAAUGGAGCAAUUCUCUGCCUGAGAACAGCCUCUGAUGCCUAUUGUCUCCUUUACCUGGCCAUGGAACCUUUGGAAGAGAGCACAAGGAAUAAUCAGUUUGUCAUAACUGUCGGGAACGCACUGCACAUAGCUUCACAUGCUGACAGAAUAGUGCUGGUUGUAACCAGCCCAAACAUUGCCCUAAAAUUAGUACCCAGAUAAAUCCGUUGCUUUGGGAAAGCAUCUGCUUUCAAAUUAAAUGAACCCAGACC